rnacentral:rRNA from 1 species
UUUGGACAAUGGUAGGAGAGCGUUCUAAGGGCGUUGAAGCAUGAUCGCAAGGACAUGUGGAGCGCUUAGAAGUGAGAAUGCCGGUGUGAGUAGCGAAAGACGGGUGAGAAUCCCGUCCACCGAUUGACUAAGGUUUCCAGAGGAAGGCUCGUCCGCUCUGGGUUAGUCGGGUCCUAAGCUGAGGCCGACAGGCGUAGGCGAUGGAUAACAGGUUGAUAUUCCUGUACCACCUAUAAUCGUUUUAAUCGAUGGGGGGACGCAGUAGGAUAGGCGAAGCGUGCGAUUGGAUUGCACGUCUAAGCAGUAAGGCUGAGUAUUAGGCAAAUCCGGUACUCGUUAAGGCUGAGCUGUGAUGGGGAGAAGACAUUGUGUCUUCGAGUCGUUGAUUUCACACUGCCGAGAAAAGCCUCUAGAUAGAAAAUAGGUGCCCGUACCGCAAACCGACACAGGUAGUCAAGAUGAGAAUUCUAAGGUGAGCGAGCGAACUCUCGUUAAGGAACUCGGCAAAAUGACCCCGUAACUUCGGGAGAAGGGGUGCUCUUUAGGGUUAACGCCCAGAAGAGCCGCAGUGAAUAGGCCCAAGCGACUGUUUAUCAAAAACACAGGUCUCUGCUAAACCGUAAGGUGAUGUAUAGGGGCUGACGCCUGCCCGGUGCUGGAAGGUUAAGAGGAGUGGUUAGCUUCUGCGAAGCUACGAAUCGAAGCCCCAGUAAACGGCGGCCGUAACUAUAACGGUCCUAAGGUAGCGAAAUUCCUUGUCGGGUAAGUUCCGACCCGCACGAAAGGCGUAACGAUUUGGGCACUGUCUCAACGAGAGACUCGGUGAAAUCAUAGUACCUGUGAAGAUGCAGGUUACCCGCGACAGGACGGAAAGACCCCGUGGAGCUUUACUGUAGCCUGAUAUUGAAAUUCGGCACAGCUUGUACAGGAUAGGUA